AGUGAACGCUGGCGGUAGGCCUAACACAUGCAAGUCGAACGGCAGCACAGUAAGAGUUUGCUCUUACGGGUGGCGAGUGGCGGACGGGUGAGGAAUACAUCGGAUUCUACUUUUUCGUGGGGGAUAACGUAGGGAAACUUACGCUAAUACCGCAUACGACCUACGGGUGAAAGCAGGGGAUCUUCGGACCUUGCGCGUUUGAUUGAGCCGAUGUCGGAUUAGCUAGUUGGCGGGGUAAAGGCCCACCAAGGCGACGAUCCGUAGCUGGUCUGAGAGGAUGAUCAGCCACACUGGAACUGAGACACGGUCCAGACUCCUACGGGAGGCAGCAGUGGGGAAUAUUGGACAAUGGGCGCAAGCCUGAUCCAGCCAUACCGCGUGGGUGAAGAAGGCCUUCGGGUUGUAAAGCCCUUUUGUUGGGAAAGAAAAGCAGCAGGUUAAUACCCCGCUGUUCUGACGGUACCCAAAGAAUAAGCACCGGCUAACUUCGUG
rnacentral:rRNA from 1 species